rnacentral:lncRNA from 1 species
CUGGUACUCUGUGAGAGCUACACUUAGACAUUCAUGGACACAUACGAGGUGUGGACAGCAAGGCACAACAUCUUCUGUCUCCAGAAUGAUCUUAAAGUGGUGAUGAGACAGGUGGAGGUGGUCCUCCAGCAACUGCUUUCAUAAAGUGAGGAAAAGCAAGCCCAGCAUACUGCCCACUACGAGGCACCGAGGAGAAGCAUAGGCAACAAUCUUCUUGCCUAGGCCUUCAACAAAUCAAGCAUCUAUUUUCAGGCCUGGAUCCCCAGCCAGGAUUGUGAGGGUGUUAAAUGAUGAUGAGAGUGAAAUUUAACUCUGGACCACCCACAACACUUCCAGUUUGGUGAAGCACAAUGAGGCACACUAUAAAUGUGACAGUGAUCUCCAGAGGAGAGAGACAGCAGUUCAGACUUGUUCCAACUUGCUAGGCAAGGAAAGGACCACUAGGUAGCAGCAGUAUC